UACGUAGGCAGCAAGCGUUGUUCGGAAUUACUGGGCGUAAAGAGUGUGUAGGCGGUGUUCUAAGUCUGUUGUGAAAUCUCCCGGCUUAACUGGGAGGGUGCGGCGGAAACUGGAAUGCUAGAGGAUGGGAGAGGUAAGCGGAAUUCCUGGUGUAGCGGUGAAAUGCGCAGAUAUCAGGAAGAACACCCGUGGCGAAGGCGGCUCUCUGGGACGGUACUGACGCUGAGACGUGAAAGCGUGGGGAGCAAACAGG
rnacentral:rRNA from 1 species